rnacentral:SRP_RNA from 1 species
UGCCAAGCGCCUAUUAACAGGUUAAUGCCCAACCCCGUCAGAUCCGGAAGGAAGCAGCGGUAAGUAUUUAAUUUGUGUAAUAGGAUAGCUUGGCAUUU